rnacentral:rRNA from 1 species
UUGGCUUAGAAGCAGCCAUCAUUUAAAGAAAGCGUAAUAGCUCACUGGUCGAGUCGGCCUGCGCGGAAGAUGUAACGGGGCUAAACCAUGCACCGAAGCUGCGGCAGCGACGCUUAUGCGUUGUUGGGUAGGGGAGCGUUCUGUAAGCCUGCGAAGGUGUGCUGUGAGGUAUGCUGGAGGUAUCAGAAGUGCGAAUGCUGACAUAAGUAACGAUAAAGCGGGUGAAAAGCCCGCUCGCCGGAAGACCAAGGGUUCCUGUCCAA